CUUGUAUGUGAAGUUAUGAGGUUACUGAAAUAUGUUGUGAGGUUGGAGCACCCAUGACCUGCCUUUCAGUUACAACAAAGGAGUAACCAUUGAUAGCCAGAUAGCGUUAAUGGCUCAUCAACACCCAUCAAGAAAAUAAUCCACUAUCCUAGAGACUUCUAGGUGGAGGAACAUAUGCCAUGUGGGCCGACUAACCCAUGUCAAAGCAAAGAUCUUUCCAGCAAACUGGAAGAAAAUACAAAAGAGAGACAGUAACUUCCUCACUUGGCCUCACUCUUCUCCCUCCCAUCCCCCCAAUCUCAAAACCUGGAAGCACAUCUGGAAGAAAAAGACUUUGAACUGGGGAAGUGUGGUCCCAGGCUGGAAAAGAGUCCUACUCUGUAUAUUGAGGAACUGUGACCUGUUUGUACCAUCGGAGGAAUUUCACGUCCAGAUGUGAAAACUUCAUAUCUUAGUAGUUCUCUAUAAUGGGCCAGCCUGGAAUACAGAGGGCCAAAUUCUGCUCUUAUUUACAUUGGUGUGGAGUGACUCAACUGAAUAAUGCCAGGAUCCCUCGGUGAGGAUCAGGGUCCUACUUGGCAAGAUGCAGUAUGAACUUUGAGGUAUAUGUACACAGUGCCUGUCCUAUAAAGCUUACAGUUGCAAGAAAAUGAAGCAGAAAGUGAAACUAUGGGGUCAAGAUAAGACCCCUUCCCCAGCAAACACAUCUAAGGGUUGUCAAGAGACAAUGCCAAAACUAUUAACUUUCAACAUUCUACCUCCUGGCUCCAGCCACGUUACAGAACUGGCUUUGACAAGCAGAACCAAAGCCUGAGAAUUGACGAGAACAAAGCAACACUGGCUUAUUUAAAAAGAGAAUCUCUCAGGAGAUAGGCAUGGCUGUUCAGGCAGUUUUUCAGGGGAACAGAUGGAUGCAGGCAACCACUGGGAAUGUCUGAAGAAGCUAGACCUGCCUAGGUCACCAUGACAGGAUGGUAGGGCUUUAGCAAGAUACAUGUAUGUAGACUGUUUUAAAAUCCUCUUUACUCUGAUGCUUUGUUCCUCAUGUUUAAAAUAAUCCACACUUUGGUUCUAAGCAGGCUGUCUGGUCAUAUAUCUGCCACUGGACACCACACUCCCAAAGGGAAGAACCCCAGUUGGAGCUGCUGGGUGACUAUAAUGCAUAUACAGGGUUCUAUAGCCCAGGGCCUGGUCUGAGAGUGGGAGAAUUGCAAAAUUCCACCCCUGGAGAUGUAAAAGCAUGAGGUUUGACACCUCAGAGGUGCACUCAUAGAGACCGGAGAGGGGACAGAAGUACAACUAAUCCUGUAACAUGGU